GGGCCUUGUUCUAAAGAAAAGGACAAUUGUAUGUCAGCAAAGCACCCUCUCAAUAUGUCUUUGUCCAGUAGAGAAGUGCAGAUCAUGAAGGAAGUGCUAUAGAGUCUCUUCUGUUAGGCCCACUGCCAGUUUAUUCAUUCAGAGCUGUCAAGCCUGGAAAGAGCCGCUGAACUCAUUCUAAUCUGACUUCCCGUACACAGUGCAGAGGAAUGAUUUCCUCUGCUUCAUAUGACAUAAUGGCAUUCCUCUUGUUUUUGACUGCAUAGAAAGUCUCUCUUCACAAGCGUAACUGGCCUUCAUUUGAAACCUACACUUCUGCUUUGUCAGACUUGAAUUCUGUUUUUCCUCCAAGACACUAGGAGCAGUGUUUUGGCCUCAUACCAGUUGUGUGAGAAGACAUGGAAUUGUUUGGACAAAAUUGAGGUGCCAGGUAUUGAUGCUGAAGGAAAGGAGAUCACUCUAAGGGGCCUACUUGAGCAUAUCCAGAGGGAGCACAGGCUGCUGCCAGAGGUGCUACUGUAUGGAUAUGCUGUUCUGUAUGAUGGAGCCGACAAAGAAGAAAAAGAGCAGCGUCUUUCCAGCAGGCUGACGGAGUUGGUUCACUGUGUCACAGGAGAACCCGUAUCCAAGAAGGUGUUGGUGUUGUCAAUGGGUUGUAAAGGUGACGACCACAAUAGUGUUUCGCCAUCUGUUCAUGUCUUGCUCCAAUAAAAAAUGAGCUCUGUGAAAGUGCAAUAUGUAAAAUUGAUAUUAUAUGUGAACCAGAACUACUUGUACCUAAAUUUGGAAUUCAUUUUUGUUUAAGGAUGAAGUUACAUGUAGGUAAACAAGAUUAAAUUUUUUUCUAAAAAAUUUGAUAUCCUCUCUGUGUUAUUUUCCCUGUCC
rnacentral:lncRNA from 1 species